GAGGAAUAUUGGUUAAUGGGCGAGAGCCUGAACCAGCCAAGUCGCGUGAAGGAAGACUGCCUUAUCGGUUGUAAACUUCUUUUAUACAGGAAUAAAAAGGCUUACGUGUAGGCCAUUGCAAGUACUGUAUGAAUCAGCAUCGGCUAACUCCGUGCCAGCAGCCGCGGUAAUACGGGGGAUGCGAGCGUUAUCCGGAUUUAUUGGGUUUAAAGGGUGCGCAGGCGGGGGGUUAAGUCGGCGGUGAAAUUUUGCAGCUCAACUGUAAAAGUGCCUUCGAAACUGGUUCCCUUGAGUGCGGAUGAGGUAGGCGGAAUUUGUGGUGUAGCGGUGAAAUGCAUAGAUAUCACGAGUAACUCCGAUUGCCCAGGCACCUUACCCAGCCGUAACUGACGCUCAAGCACGAAGGCGUGGGGAUCAAACA
rnacentral:rRNA from 1 species